GCUUACGGCCACACCCGCCUGGUUCACGCUUGAUCUCGGAAGCUAAGAUAGGUUGGGCCUGGUUAGUACUUGGAUGGGAGACCGUCUGGGAAUACCAGGUGCUGUAAGCU
rnacentral:rRNA from 1 species